GGUUAAGCGACUAAGCGUACACGGUGGAUGCCCUGGCAGUCAGAGGCGAUGAAGGACGUGCUAAUCUGCGAUAAGCGUCGGUAAGGUGAUAUGAACCGUUAUAACCGGCGAUUUCCGAAUGGGGAAACCCAGUGUGUUUCGACACACUAUCAUUAACUGAAUCCAUAGGUUAAUGAGGCGAACCGGGGGAACUGAAACAUCUAAGUACCCCGAGGAAAAGAAAUCAACCGAGAUUCCCCCAGUAGCGGCGAGCGAACGGGGAGCAGCCCAGAGCCUGAAUCAGUGUGUGUGUUAGUGGAAGCGUCUGGAAAGGCGCGCGAUACAGGGUGACAGCCCCGUACACAAAAAUGCACAUGCUGUGAGCUCGAUGAGUAGGGCGGGACACGUGGUAUCCUGUCUGAAUAUGGGGGGACCAUCCUCCAAGGCUAAAUACUCCUGACUGACCGAUAGUGAACCAGUACCGUGAGGGAAAGGCGAAAAGAACCCCGGCGAGGGGAGUGAAAAAGAACCUGAAACCGUGUACGUACAAGCAGUGGGAGCACGCUUAGGCGUGUGACUGCGUACCUUUUGUAUAAUGGGUCAGCGACUUAUAUUCUGUAGCAAGGUUAACCGAAUAGGGGAGCCGAAGGGAAACCGAGUCUUAACUGGGCGUUAAGUUGCAGGGUAUAGACCCGAAACCCGGUGAUCUAGCCAUGGGCAGGUUGAAGGUUGGGUAACACUAACUGGAGGACCGAACCGACUAAUGUUGAAAAAUUAGCGGAUGACUUGUGGCUGGGGGUGAAAGGCCAAUCAAACCGGGAGAUAGCUGGUUCUCCCCGAAAGCUAUUUAGGUAGCGCCUCGUGAAUUCAUCUCCGGGGGUAGAGCACUGUUUCGGCAAGGGGGUCAUCCCGACUUACCAACCCGAUGCAAACUGCGAAUACCGGAGAAUGUUAUCACGGGAGACACACGGCGGGUGCUAACGUCCGUCGUGAAGAGGGAAACAACCCAGACCGCCAGCUAAGGUCCCAAAGUCAUGGUUAAGUGGGAAACGAUGUGGGAAGGCCCAGACAGCCAGGAUGUUGGCUUAGAAGCAGCCAUCAUUUAAAGAAAGCGUAAUAGCUCACUGGUCGAGUCGGCCUGCGCGGAAGAUGUAACGGGGCUAAACCAUGCACCGAAGCUGCGGCAGCGACACUAUGUGUUGUUGGGUAGGGGAGCGUUCUGUAAGCCUGUGAAGGUGUGCUGUGAGGCAUGCUGGAGGUAUCAGAAGUGCGAAUGCUGACAUAAGUAACGAUAAAGCGGGUGAAAAGCCCGCUCGCCGGAAGACCAAGGGUUCCUGUCCAACGUUAAUCGGGGCAGGGUGAGUCGACCCCUAAGGCGAGGCCGAAAGGCGUAGUCGAUGGGAAACAGGUUAAUAUUCCUGUACUUGGUGUUACUGCGAAGGGGGGACGGAGAAGGCUAUGUUGGCCGGGCGACGGUUGUCCCGGUUUAAGCGUGUAGGCUGGUUUUCCAGGCAAAUCCGGAAAAUCAAGGCUGAGGCGUGAUGACGAGGCACUACGGUGCUGAAGCAACAAAUGCCCUGCUUCCAGGAAAAGCCUCUAAGCAUCAGGUAACAUCAAAUCGUACCCCAAACCGACACAGGUGGUCAGGUAGAGAAUACCAAGGCGCUUGAGAGAACUCGGGUGAAGGAACUAGGCAAAAUGGUGCCGUAACUUCGGGAGAAGGCACGCUGAUAUGUAGGUGAGGUCCCUCGCGGAUGGAGCUGAAAUCAGUCGAAGAUACCAGCUGGCUGCAACUGUUUAUUAAAAACACAGCACUGUGCAAACACGAAAGUGGACGUAUACGGUGUGACGCCUGCCCGGUGCCGGAAGGUUAAUUGAUGGGGUUAGCGCAAGCGAAGCUCUUGAUCGAAGCCCCGGUAAACGGCGGCCGUAACUAUAACGGUCCUAAGGUAGCGAAAUUCCUUGUCGGGUAAGUUCCGACCUGCACGAAUGGCGUAAUGAUGGCCAGGCUGUCUCCACCCGAGACUCAGUGAAAUUGAACUCGCUGUGAAGAUGCAGUGUACCCGCGGCAAGACGGAAAGACCCCGUGAACCUUUACUAUAGCUUGACACUGAACAUUGAGCCUUGAUGUGUAGGAUAGGUGGGAGGCUUAGAAGUGUGGACGCCAGUCUGCAUGGAGCCGACCUUGAAAUACCACCCUUUAAUGUUUGAUGUUCUAACGUUGACCCGUAAUCCGGGUUGCGGACAGUGUCUGGUGGGUAGUUUGACUGGGGCGGUCUCCUCCUAAAGAGUAACGGAGGAGCACGAAGGUUGGCUAAUCCUGGUCGGACAUCAGGAGGUUAGUGCAAUGGCAUAAGCCAGCUUGACUGCGAGCGUGACGGCGCGAGCAGGUGCGAAAGCAGGUCAUAGUGAUCCGGUGGUUCUGAAUGGAAGGGCCAUCGCUCAACGGAUAAAAGGUACUCCGGGGAUAACAGGCUGAUACCGCCCAAGAGUUCAUAUCGACGGCGGUGUUUGGCACCUCGAUGUCGGCUCAUCACAUCCUGGGGCUGAAGUAGGUCCCAAGGGUAUGGCUGUUCGCCAUUUAAAGUGGUACGCGAGCUGGGUUUAGAACGUCGUGAGACAGUUCGGUCCCUAUCUGCCGUGGGCGCUGGAGAACUGAGGGGGGCUGCUCCUAGUACGAGAGGACCGGAGUGGACGCAUCACUGGUGUUCGGGUUGUCAUGCCAAUGGCACUGCCCGGUAGCUAAAUGCGGAAGAGAUAAGUGCUGAAAGCAUCUAAGCACGAAACUUGCCCCGAGAUGAGUUCUCCCUGACUCCUUGAGAGUCCUGAAGGAACGUUGAAGACGACGACGUUGAUAGGCCGGGUGUGUAAGCGCAGCGAUGCGUUGAGCUAACCGGUACUAAUGAACCGUGAGGCUUAACCUU
rnacentral:rRNA from 2 species